rnacentral:rRNA from 1 species
ACGCUCGACACCUACGGGAGGCAGCAGUGGGGAAUAUUGCACAAUGGGGGAAACCCUGAUGCAGCGACGCCGCGUGGAGGAAGAAGGUCUUCGGAUUGUAAACUCCUGUUGUUGGGGAAAAAGAGGAUGGUACCCAACAAGGAAGUGACGGCUAACUACGUGCUCGCAGCCGCGGUAAUCUGAGCGGGCUGGCAAGC